GAUGAACGCUGGCGGCGUGCCUAAUACAUGCAAGUCGAGCGAAUGGAUUAAGAGCUUGCUCUUAUGAAGUUAGCGGCGGACGGGUGAGUAACACGUGGGUAACCUGCCCAUAAGACUGGGAUAACUCCGGGAAACCGGGGCUAAUACCGGAUAACAUUUUGAACCGCAUGGUUCGAAAUUGAAAGGCGGCUUCGGCUGUCACUUAUGGAUGGACCCGCGUCGGAUUAGCUAGUUGGUGAGGUAACGGCUCACCAAGGCAACGAUGCGUAGCCGACCUGAGAGGGUGAUCGGCCACACGGGGACUGAGACACGGCCCAGACUCCUACGGGAGGCAGCAGUAGGGAAUCUUCCGCAAUGGACGAAAGUCUGACGGAGCAACGCCGCGUGAGUGAUGAAGGCUUUCGGGUCGUAAAACUCUGUUGUUAGGGAAGAACAGGUGCUAGUUGAAUAAGCUGGCACCUUGACGGUACCUAACCAGAAAGCCACGGCUAACUACGUGCCAGCCGCCGCUGUAA
rnacentral:rRNA from 1 species